AUUGAACGCUGGCGGCAGGCCUAACACAUGCAAGUCGAGCGGAGCGGCGGACGGGUGAGUAAUACCUAGGUAUCUGCCUGGUAGUGGGGGAUAACGUUCGGAAACGGACGCUAAUACCGCAUACUAUCAGAUGAGCCUAGGUCGGGUUAGCUAGUUGGUGAGGGAAUGGCUCACGAAGGCUACGAUACGUAACUGGUCUGAGAGGAUGAUCAGUCACACGGGAACUGAGAACCGUUCCAGACGCCUACGGGAGGCAGCAGGGGGGAAUAUGGAACAAGGGGCGGAAGCCUGAUCCAGCCAGGCGGCGUGUGUGAAGAAGGUCUUCGGAUUGUAAAGCACUUUAAGUGGGGAGGCGUUACCGACAGAAUAAGCACCGGCUAACUCUGUGCCAGCAGCCGGGGUAUAC
rnacentral:rRNA from 1 species